rnacentral:rRNA from 1 species
CUGGCGGCGUGCUUAACACAUGCAAGUCGAACGAGGAUUAUGUUGGAGGGGCUUCGGCCUGGAAGAUGUAAUUCGAGUGGCGGACGGGUGAGUAACGCGUGAACAAUCUGUCCCGGACAGGGGAAUAACACUUGGAAACAGGUGCUAAUACCGCAUAAGACCACGCCCUCGCAUGGGGGAGGGGUAAAAGGAGCAAUCCGGUUCGGGGUGAGUUCGCGUCCGAUUAGAUAGUUGGUGAGGUAACGGCCCACCAAGUCGACGAUCGGUAGCCGACCUGAGAGGGUGAUCGGCCACAUUGGAACUGAGAGACGGUCCAAACUCCUACGGGAGGCAGCAGUGGGGAAUAUUGGGCAAUGGGCGAAAGCCCUGACCCAGCAACGCCGCGUGAGUGAAGAAGGCUUUCGGGUUGUAAAGCUCUGUUAUAGGGGACGAAGGAAGUGACGGUACCCUAUAAGGAAGCCCCGGCUAACUACGUGCCAGCAGCAGC